rfam:Wallemia ichthyophaga EXF-994 unplaced genomic scaffold scaffold4, whole genome shotgun sequence.
GCUUCGGUAGUAUAACGGUUAGUACAUGGGUCUCAUAGUUUAUCGCUAUGAGCCAAUCUACAUUGGCGAAAUCCCGAAAUGGUGGUUCGAUUCCGCCCCGAAGCA